rnacentral:rRNA from 1 species
CCUACGGGAGGCAGCAGUGAGGAAUAUUGGACAAUGGAGGAAACUCUGAUCCAGCGACGCAGCGUGCGUGAUGACGUCACUCUUUGUUUAAAGCUGCAUCUGCACGGGAGUAAACUACGUUACCUGAGUAUUAAUCCCCGUCUCACUACGUGCCAGCAGCCGCGGUAAUACGGAGGGGGCCAGCGUUAUCCGGAUUUACGGGGUGUAAAGGGGGCGUAGACGGCAGUGCAAGUCUGGAGUGAAAGGCGGGGGCUCAACCGCCGGACUGCACUGGAAACUGUACGGCUGGAGUGCAGGAGAGGUAAGUGGAAUUCGUAGUGUAGCGGUGAAAUGCGUAGAUAUUACGAGGAACACCAGUGGCGAAGGCAGCUUACUGGAGUGUAACUGACGUUGAGGCUCGAAAGCGUGGGUAGCGAACAGGAUUAGAUACCCGUGUAGUC